rnacentral:rRNA from 1 species
GGACCCACACAAGUAGUGGAGCAUGUGGUUUAAUUCGAAGAUACGCGCAGAACCUUACCAACACUUGACAUGUUCGUCGCGACUUUAAGAGAUUAAAGUUUUCGGUUCGGCCGGACGAAACACAGGUGCUGCAUGGCUGUCGUCAGCUCGUGUCGUGAGAUGUUGGGUUAAGUCCCGCAACGAGCGCAACCCUCACUUUUAGUUGCCAUCAUUAAGUUGGGCACUCUGAAAGAACUGCCAGUGAUAAGCUGGAGGAAGGUGGGGAUGACGUCAAGUCCUCAUGGCCCUUACGUGUUGGGCUACACACGUGCUACAAUGGCAUUUACAAUAGGAAGCAAGACGGCGACGUUAAGCAAAUCCUCAAAAGAUACCUCAGUUCGGAUUGCACUCUGCAACUCGAGUGCAUGAAGCUGGAAUUACUAGUAAUCGU